UAGGGAAUCUUCGGCAAUGGGGGGAACCCUGACCGAGCAACGCCGCGUGAGUGAAGAAGGUUUUCGGAUCGUAAAGCUCUGUUGUUAAGGAAGAACGAGUGUGAGAAUGGAAAGUUCAUACUGUGACGGUAGUUAACCAGAAAGGGACGGCUAACUACGUGCCAGCAGCCGCGGUAAUACGUAGGUCCCGAGCGUUGUCCGGAUUUAUUGGGCGUAAAGCGAGCGCAGGCGGUUAGAUAAGUCUGAAGUUAAAGGCAGUGGCUCAACCAUUGUAGGCUUUGGAAACUGUUUAACUUGAGUGCAGAAGGGGAGAGUGGAAUUCCAUGUGUAGCGAUGAAAUGCGUAGAUAUAUGGAGGAACACCGGUGGCGAAAGCGGCUCUCUGGUCUGUAACUGACGCUGAGGCUCGAAAGCGUGGGGAGCGAACAGG
rnacentral:rRNA from 1 species